rnacentral:lncRNA from 1 species
UUAGUGAAGCCAAAACUCUAAUGAGACAAGAAAAUCUUCUUAUUGCUACAAUGGGUUGGUGUAGAAUAAACUAUAUCCCACAGAGACCUGGAUGUUCUGGCCCUUACCAGUGCAAAUUCCUGCUGAAGAUUCAAUAGAACUACAAAGUGACACUACCCAGAAUACCUGAAGUGUAGAUCUUCUCCCUUCUCUCUUCCUCCAUCUGUUCUCCUCCCCUGCCUCUAUCUAUCUCUAUCCUUGUCUCUCUUUCUAUAUGUGUGUAUGUGCAUUCAUGUAUAUGUGUGUAUGUGCAUUUGUGUGUGUGUGUAUGUAUGUAUCUGUGGUUUGUUCUCUUGAAACCAGAAGAUCCAAAGCAGAUAGCAGCACAUGGAUACAUACAGAGAAAGGACAGAGACAGACAGAGAGAGGCAGGGGAGAAGAAGGGAUGAAGGGAGGGAGAAAGGGGAAGAUCUAUACUUCAGAUAUUCCAGGCAGUGUAACUUUGUAAUCUUCUGCUUUUUAAAUCCCAUAUACCAUGAAAGUUGAGUUGCUCAAAUUCUGGAUCUCUCUCUCUCUCUCUCUCUCUCUCUCUCUCUCUGUCUCUCUCUCUCUCUGUCUCUUUCUCUGUCUCUGUCUCUCUGUCUCUGUCUCUCUGUCUCUGUUUCUCUCUCUCUCUCUCUCUCUCCCUCUCUCUCUCUCUCUCUCUCUCCCAGGUAUUUACUGCAGGAAUCUCAAGAUCUUCCUUUCAUAAAAUGAGUCAUAACUACCCAGCCUGCUCCACCAGACUUAAAAUGCUAAGCACUGUGAAGAAAGAAAGAUCCCCUCGCCAUAGCUCUCUCAUGGGGACCUCAGGAUCUAAUGCAAAUAAAUGUCUUGUCCCAUUUGGGCUUGUGUCAUGAUAGCUUCUCUGACUAGACACGCCUUACAUGUGCACGCCUUACAUGUUCUUCCCCGACAUUAAAGCUAGUGGCUUUAAAGUUAAUGCCUAUUUCUGUAUCAGCCUUGGAGACGUUGCCCACACCUGGUUGACUCUUUUAACUGUCUACUUGGCAGGCCGGCUUGGCCCAACAACCACAGUGAGGGUGGGGGUGAUCUUCACAGAAUAAAAUCCUUUUCCUGUUUUUCCUGGCUUGGCCAGUCAAGCAGAUUGAAAGAAGUUGCAUGUGCUUUUAAAAAAUGAAACCCUUCUUGGCACUUUGACAAGUGGUUUGAUGAGAUCUAACUAGUAUUUACAGAACUUGAGUUUGACACAAAUUGAGGGUUAAAUUUUCUCUCAUUUACUGGCACCAUCGACUUUGCAUUUAUAGCCCAUAGGACCUGAGAGAGCAAUACUGACUGUCAGUCUGUCAUUUCCCCAUCUCCAGCUUGAGAGUCCAACUAGAUGCUUCUCUUACUCAGUUCUUCACAUCAAGAGCUUUGAGUCUUGUAGGAUCCACAUACUGCUUACCCUGCUCUGCUCUGCACUAGCGAGAUGGCCUCUGGUUACCACCUCACUUUCCUUGUGCCUCAGCUCGUGACUCUGAAAUAGGAACAUUAGUGAACUAAGUGAUAGGUAAGAAGUAGCAAGAAUGAUUCACAAAAUACCACAGUGAUCAAUGGAUGGUAAGGAUGACUAAUGAAUGUUUCCAGGGGAUUCUAUGAAUUGAGCACUGUGGAAGAACAGGGAAUCAGGGCUCAUACCUAAAUCCCAGCAUUCAUGGAGCUGAGGCAGGAAGUUUACCACACAUUCAUAGUCAGCUCAGACUACAUAGGAAGUUCCAGACCAGCCUGAACUACAGUUUGGGAGACUAUCUCCAAAAAUAAUUGUAUUGCUUUUUAGGUUUCUGCAGUAAAACACCCAACAUAAAAUUGGGGGUGUGUUUCAGUUCAUAAUUCUGAGGGAAUCUGUUAAUGACAGGAAGGCAUGGGACAAGAGUAUGUGGAAGACAGCCACACUGUGUUCAGUCAUGAAGCAACAAGACACGAACACAGCUGCCCACUCCACUUUCUGUCCCCAGCCUGAGGGGACAAUGCCUCUACAUUUGGUUGGCCUCAGUAAAACUUUUGUGAAGAAACCUUCACAGACAUACCCAUGUGACUUUAAUCCCAGUCAAGCUAACAAUGAAAAUUAACUAUCAUACUGUCCUAUAUGAAAUUGCCAUACUCAGAGACAUUUAUUAUUAUCCAUAUAGAAUCCAUAAACAAAUCAGAUAUAGCUUUCUCAUGAGUGAGCACACUUACAAGUACAAAAAUUAUCAAGGUAACAGCAUACGAUCAAUUAACUUAUAUUCUAAAUAAAACAAUAAGACAAAACACAAAUAGGUAUGUGUAUUGGGGAGUUUGUGAGAGGCCUAUCAAGUGCUAUGGAAUAACUGAAGGACAGAUUCCAUGUCUGGGACUGGUAGCCCAUGCCCCUACAAGAGAACUAGCCUACCUUAGAGACUCUAUAAGGGAAGUAAAUCACACAUUCGGACAGGGACCUAGGGAAGGGGAAUUUAGAAAGGGCUGCACUGAUGGACUUAGUGCCCAGGGUUUCAAAGAGCUAAAGAUGAGGUAAGAGUGACCUGGAUUCUCAAAAUUCUCAUCAGGAGAUACUCUAAAGAAAGCAUGGUGAUCAUUCUGGAUUAUCUAUCCAGGGUGAGUUUUCAGUUUUCUUUGUAUUCUUUUUGGACUGAGUAGGUGUAUAGACUCACUACCUCCUUUUUCUUCCUUGUGUUUUUGCUUCUGAGAAAGGUUCUAUAACUCAGGCUAGCCCCAAACUCCAUAUACAGCUGAAGCUUGCCUGGAACUCUUAAAAUUCCUGCCCAAGCCAGACAAAUGCCAGGAUUAUAAAUAGGCAUAUAUGGCACUGCCCUUGUCUUUCACAAUACAAUGGUGAAGUGCCCCCAGAAAGUCUGCUUUGUAGAAUUGAGAAAGGGAGAAGAGUUUCAGUGUAACUUCUGGAAAUCAUUUGUCCAAACCACAUUAACAAUACACACUGUGGUCACUUGGUCACUUAUUGCUUCUAUGGCUCUGAAGAACAUAAGUAAACCAAAAUGUACGGGGUUGGGAAAGCAGAGUUUGAAAUAUGUCUAAUGUAGACAUCAUUUGGGGUCAGGUUGUUCAUUUAAGUGUUAAUAUUUUAAUUAGCUGGUUUUGUGUGUGUCUCUCGGUGUGUGUGUGUGUGUGUGUGUGUGUGUGUGUGUGUGCUCAUCCACAUAUAUGCAGGUACCCUUGG